UUGCUCCCGGUAGGACUAGGCUAACUUAUAGCUUUUAUAUUGUUAUUUUAUGCCACAACCAUCUCAUCAAAAAGCCAGCAGACAUUCUUUGAACCCAACUGAAAUCAUCUGCUGAUCCUUUCUGACUGCUUUGCAGGCAAACUCCUCACCACAAAAUACCGGCGAAGGGAAUUCUUCUCUUUUCUGAUUCCGCCACGUUUUCAUUUUCAAUAAAGUUUUAUAAAUGUUUUUCUCUGAUAUUCCGCUGCUUUGUGGCAGCAUGCCUCCAAACUUCCAGCAUGCGAGCUGGUGUACGUAGGCAAUGUAGAUAAGCGUGCCUCCUUUUAUAUUGUCUCGCUGGAUGUCUCCCUCGCAGACACAGACUAGUGUCUGGAUAUGUGGUUUAUUAUUAUUAUUGUUAUAUUUAUUUUCUAUCAUUAUAUUUACUUUCCCCUCUCUCCAUUCAGGAAGCUCUCACAAUCAGUUUCCCUUCUCAGCUUUGUUUUCCCUCAUCCUCCAACUCCUGUCCCCCCCUCAGGGUAUAACCACGUCCCCACGGAAAGCCACAAGAAUGCACUAUUUCACCAAAAUCCUCCCAGAAUUUCCCAAACCAUCAGUUUCCAGUUCAUGCAGGAGAGGGCAGCAGAGCUCAGGGAAUGGGGACAGUCACUCCUCCAGUGAAAGAAUGCGACCCCAGGGGUGUUGUGCAUUUUCCCACUAAUUCUGUCCUCAAAGUGAGGCAGCCCUAAGGAACCAGCCAAGCAGGAGCAAGCGGAUUUUGGUGUGAUUUAUGACUGGCUGCAGGCUGCUUGGGGAGGGAGGGAGGAUACUGAGGACAUCCAGGAUUCUUACAGUGCGAUAAGAAGUAGAAGAUAGGGUUAGUCUUAAGCAGUAGGCUACCCCUCACUUGAAGUCUGGUUUGGCUUGAUAAGUAAAUGCUUGAAAAUGCAUGAUAAGUACAAUUUAAAGCAUUACAUCGCCUCUAAUGCAGACAGGUAGGGUCUGGCUUACAAUCAGGUGGCUGGCUGUAGUCAAAUCUAGUUUGGCCUAUUUCUGUGUUGAAAGACUGUUUCUUAAUCAUUCAUUAUUUACAGUAAAGGGGAGAUUUUGCUUUCUAGAAAAGACUAAGCACAGAAAUUACACAGAAAGUGUGUCCUCUGUUCAGGUGUUGACAGCAGUCUGUCUCUGCAUUGACCUGGAGGAUCAGAGGAUGCUUAUGCCAAUAACCCAUGGCAAAUUGCUGGCAGCGCUCCUGCGAGGCAGUGUGGAUCACAGUAGCUGAUUUUGUGUGCGUGGGAGGAAGAAAGGAGCACAGAAAAUUUACAACAGGAAAAGUUCUCCCUGACAGUUUUCAGAUUUACGUACCUCAGCACUGCUGGAAGGGGCAUUUCUGGUGUGCAGCGAAUAGCUGGCUGUAAGUUUCAGUGUGAUUUGAGCAUUUUUAAGUAAGCAAAAAACGUUGGAAGCACAACAGGCCAAAGGCACCGGUGUGUUUUGGACAACAGAUAUGCUUAAUUAAUCUAUUAUUAACGUUGUUGUUGUUUUUAUAGCUUCCUAACUCUCACACCCUGCUCUGUGUCUCCUGGCUACACAGUGUCAUCCUCUUUGGAGAGAACCCACCUAGAGCUGCCUGUCAUCCAACCUGCAGACUGGUAGUGACACUUCCAGCCCUACCUGAGACAGACCUGAAUGCGGAGCAGUUCAGCAGGAAUCCAUCCCUGCAUGUUCAGCUGCAAAUCGAUAGAGAAACAGAUCUAUUCUUUUGGUAGAAGCAUCUAAUACUUGUUACUAGUGAUGAGAGUCUAUGGUGGUUCUGAGACCCAGCUCAGCAAAGGACGUGGUUUAUUAUUUGGACCACGUGUGUAUGCCCUUGGAGCUUUCAGUGGUUGGUGGCAAUGGGGAUGUUUGUACUUAACAUAAAGCAUCUUGUUUGCUAGAUAGAGUUCUUGAGCUAACAUGGUCAAAAACUGUGAGAAAGCCAGGGCUGUAAUGAGUCCCAUGUUGAAAUACUCUCACAACCGCCAGCACAGGUUGCCCAGUGAGGUUGUGGAUGCCCCCUCCCUGGAAGCACUCAAGGCUGGGCUGCAUGGGGCUGUGAGCAACCUGGUCUAGGGGAGGUGUCCCUGCCUAUAGCAGGGGGUUGGAAUUACAUGAUCUUAAAGGUCCCUUCCAACCCAGACUAUUCUAUGAUUCCAUGAUCUUCAAAAAGCUUGUGCCAUCCUCCAGCUUCUCAAGAAUCCCUUUGUUUCCUUGUCUUUCUCCCAUUGCUGAUGAGUUACAUGGUUUGAGGACUGAGGAAUUUGUACCUUGCGUGUCAUUCACACAAUUUCUCACAAAAAAAGGCAUGAUCUAUCAGAGCAACCUGAAGAAAUGCCUUGUGUGAUGCCUUUAUGCAAACGUGAAGAUCAGUCUGAAUAGUGCUCUCUUUGAGUAAAGAUGAUUUAUCUUACGGAGCAACUAAUUCUGUUGUAAAGCACGGAGUUGCUAAUGCUCCCACCCCAAAUCUAUGGAUGGAAGAAAUGGUUAUAUAAGAGGAGCUCGUGAUCCUUUUUGCAUUGGCCGCAUCCUAACUUUAAGUUUUCUCUCGGAUCCCACCUGGUGUCUGCACAGGAGUGAAUCAUAGAAUCACAAAACCAUUAAGGCUGGAGAAGAUCUCUAAGAUCACCAAGUCCAACCUCAGCCCAACCCCACCAUGGCCAUCACCUCAGGCACCCCCUGCCCUGCCUCUGAAGGCUGUUUUGCCUCACCUUUUUGCAGUGGUGCUCACUUUGUACUUGUUUGCCCAUGACCUUGAGGAGGCAGUGAGAUGCUCUGAGCAAUGAGCGUUGCUGAAUCUCUCGCACAUCUAGUCUGAAGCCAGCUCAGACUGACAGAAGUUGCACCCCAGGAGAAUAAUAAAUUGCUUGCGUAAACAACGAUGAUGUAAACGGGUGAUGUCAGGGGAGCUCUUUCCUAAAGCUGUCCUGGCUUCACUGAUGCAGUCUUUUUUUAGCUUUCAUCUUAUAAAAAGGUCUAAGAAAUGUACUUCCUUCUCUCAGCCUCUGCUGUGAUCCCACAACAAAGCUGGGGCACAGGACUGGGCUGCAUCAGUUCAGGACCCACCCAAAUAACCUGGCAUAAUAUGCAGAACACUGAUAGCAAUAUCACAAAGGGGAAAAAGACAUUGUAUAGAUUGUAUGUAUUUUUUUUUGGCCUUACUACUGCAAGAAUGUUUUAGCAGCAACCAAAUGUAAUGUUCAGAGGGAUGCCUCUUUGUAUAUUAAGUAUAUAACUGUCUUUCAAGAUAAAUCAUUGACUUAAUCAGAAAAUAAGAGGGUCAUAAUUGUUUUAUUUCAAAAUUUGCAUUUGUCUGUAGAGGUAUUUGACUAGCUGUGCAACCAUUGCAAAAUACAUCUAUAUUGACAAAAAUAGUUCCUGUUGAGUAUAGCCUUCUGUUGUACAGAAUGUUCAGUAAAAGUUUCAGUAAAGCCAUUUUAUCUGAAAGUCCUUAGCAGUAGUAAUCAGUAAUCACUUUGGAGAACUGUUUAAGUGUAUUUAUUUACCAGUCUGAAGCUUCUUAAUCAGUACAUUGAGAGUGAACAUGAGUUGGACUUGAUGGUUCUGGUGGAUGCCUUCCAGUCCGGAAAUUCUAUGAUUUCAGAUAUUGGCCAACUACUACAAAACCAAACCACUACUCCUGAGGCAGGACAAUGGCAGGCACUGAGCAUUGCAUUGCUCCAGGACUUGCUCUCAUCCAUGGGGAGGUGCCAAAACAGGCAGGGCUGGAGCAAAGGACAGUGACAGUUUUAAUGUUGUGCAGCUCAGAACCUAUUGUAGCUUGAAAGAACGGAGGGAUCCCAACUGCAGAAAACCUUCCCUUUUUUUUUUUUAUUGUAGCACUUUAUGCACCAUGAGUUAGAAACAAUUUAAUUUUGGUUUUAAUCAGUUGCAUUGCUGGCUGUUGACUCAUCUGUUCUUCCACAUACUGUUUGUUGCUACUCAUCGUGUUCUACCCACAUGAUGUACACUGAUAUUUGUUUCUUAUUUAUAAGAGUAGCUGGUUUGCUGUUGGCAAAUCUUCCCUGGUCUUUUCUUGUAGAGUCUUCUCAAUGAUGACACAUUUUCACAGAGGAAUGACUUGCACUGAAGGCUUGGUUCCCCCCAGAACUUUUCUUUCUUUUCAGGUCUCGGCAGGGUUUCUUCCCAACCAGCUCCUUCUUUUAGGUCCAUGUGCAAUUUGAAGAUGGUUUUCUAGUCAGAAUCUCUGUGGCAGAGGGUUUUAUGGCAGUAAUUGUCUCGGAAUGAACACUUGGUUGAGUUUAAAGGCCUCAAUUAAGAGCCUUUUGAUUUUGUGGUUUUUAUAAAAUUUCUGUGUGCAAAUCAUAGGCUGCUCUUUGAUUUUGUUUUCCAAACUUUUCAUUAUUUAAAAAUGUGGGGAGGCUUUGAUCUGAAUAAGAUUGUUACAGGUUCUCUGUGGGAUUCCAGUUCAGGAUUCAGUAAUAAAGUUGAGGGAAGAGUUAAUUGCUUGGGCUCAAUCCCAUACCAUUGUUCUGUCCCCUGACUCAAUAACUAAAAUCUUUAAGCUGAGAUAGCUGAUGGGAACAGUUGCAUUCAUACGAGGUGAAUAAUCUCCAAGAGAGCUUUUCACAUCCACUGUGGUGCAUCUUCAGGAUGCAACUGAGUGUAGCUUUACUGCAGCCAAUUGUAACAGCUGAGGAUUUGCCCAAAGAUUUCUUGUGUACCCUUCCCUCACUAAAUUCAUUCAUGCUAAGUUAUUCAAAGGGAAGGGAAAGGAAAAAGGAAAGGGAAUUCAUAUUUGCUUUGAAUCUUUGUAGAAAAAUGUUGGAUUCUUUCCUGCAACUUUGGCAGUUUCUGAUUCAGCUCUGGCAGUAAUUAUUCAGAGUGAAGAUGGAUCCUGUCUGAGAGAGAUAGGAAAAAAAAAUACACAUAAUUCCCAGGGAGUCUUGACAGUCCACACAAUUAAACUGAUCUCUGACAUCUCUGGACAGUGGGAAACGAUGGAAAUGAAGUUCAUAUUUGAUAUACAUAAAUUCUUAAGGUCACAGUGUUCCAAGGCACCACGUGUUUCUGCAUCUGCCCAACAGUUGCAGGUGAAGCAGGACGUCAUCUUUUAGAAAGGCACCCGAUGCAGAUUUAGAUCCUUAUUUAAAAUCACAGCUUCCACUAUAAAAAAGAAGCGCUGCAUUUCCAGCUUGAAUCAGUCUGGCUUCAGCUCCUCGCCAUUCAUCAGUGCCCAGAUGAGGGCGUCUCUGUGUGUCUAGACUUGGUUACAUUCAAAACAUGUCCCACUAAUUGAUAGAAAGUAAUCGCUCCAACCUGCCCUUAGCAGCGCAUUCUAUUGGUCUUUCUAGAUAUAAAGAAUAAUGUGAUGUUAUUUUUCUAAUGGGUAUCAGAGGUUAAAAUGGAAGCUCAAGUCACGUUUCAAUACAAGUUAAUACCUUUUACGUGAUGUACUAGUAACAAUUCGUAACUUCUGAUCAGUCCACGAGGCUGCAUUUCUGUUGAGAGAUGUUUGUUGGAUCUCAUGGUCCAGGGAGAGUCUUCUCUUCUGUAACCCUCAGCUGGAGCGGGCAGAUCAGGAGCUGAAAGCUGAAUAUAAUAUUUCCUUUUCAUAAGAAAAUGCAGUUUAUUUGGACCAAUUUUUCUUCUUUAUAGCAACGCACCUGAUUCCAAAAGGAGAUCUUAUGACUGAGAUUUCUUGUUUAGGAUGCAACUCAGUCAGGUGAGGACACCAAAGCCAAGCGGGCAGCCUGGCAGUCCCACGUUCCUGGGAACACCUGACCACCAACAGUUGGGAUGGAGACCCUAUUACACCUUGAGUUGCUGACUCAGUAAAUCAAAAAAGACUUUGGCAACAUCUGCUUGUGAUCCUGUAACCAGAUCAACAGCCUUUGAGCCAGCACCGGGAUAUGAAAUGAAGGUUCUGAAACAAGCACACAGUGCCUGGUCCCCAUAGAGCUCUUGCCUCCUUCUGCACCCGCUCUAGUUUGGACUGUUUCAUUCACAAUCUGCUGUUGCCUUUUCCAUGAGAGACUUAUGGCUACUGCAUCAGCAUGGAGGAUUUUAGAGGAGGAGGAGGAGAAGGAAAGAAAGAAACCUUCCUACUGCAGCAUACUGUGUAGAAAAAUGCAUUGAAGAGUGAGCUCUGACCGUGUUAAGGUGACAGCGAUCAGGCAGUCCCUCCUUCGUUUGGUGACACUCUGAGUGCUCUGUGAACCUACUCCUUUCAGGAUCAAGGCUGAGGAAAGACCAGAUGAAAACAGAUAAUCCAUCCUAAAUAAGCAUCUGGCUGGCUCACCAAGCAUAACACUAUGAUUUGAUGGAAAGUACAGCAAUAACAGCAGGGUGGCGAAGUCUUCAGCUACAGCAAAUGAGGACAAGCCCAAAUGCAACAGCCAUGGACACAGAAACAAAGGAAAGAAGCUGCUUACCUUUGGAAGACCUCAGGUAACUGAUAAAUCUUCUUGGAUUAAUGGAUCAUUAUACAGGAUAUCCCUGCAGGCUAAGGUUCUGCUCCUUCCCUACUGGCAAGUUACAGCACGAUGAAGGUAUGCAAGUGCCAAAAGCAUCUCUUCUAUCUUGAUUGUUGUCACUCAGCAAUGUGCUGGAACACCAAGCAACCAAAACAAGACCCGUUGCCAUCAAAAGCCUGUCGUGCUGGCGCUGAGAACUAGAACAAUAAAAAAGAAACACCAUUUCUAUUUCUUUGCACCGAAACCGAUGUUUUUAUGUUUAUCAAAAGAAAAAAAAAAGGAUCCUGAUCCAUAACUAGAGCUGAAAUUCAAAAAAAUACUAAAAGUGCCACCAGCACCAAUGUGAAAUAGCUAACUAACUUCACAGUGGGCUUUGCUCAUAUUUGUUUUCUAAUAGUGUCUGGAUACCACUGGAAGUCGUGCAUGGAGGUGCUUGCCUUUUUCCCUACCAGCAAUAGCUCUCUUCUUUCAAGGAUGACAGGCCAAUAUCAUCCCAGGGUGUACUGAGCUCAUGCCAGCAGUAUUUCUCCUUUGUGGAUCAAAUAGCAGGAAUUGGAAUGAACCUUCCUCAAAUUCUCUUUCAGGAUCUCCUCCAGGCAAAACUUUGAGGUUUGCAUAACUCUGAAAAGUAAUCAGACUUCACUUUGGCAAUGGAAAAGAUGCCUCUUAUUUUUGCCAAGCAAAAAUAUAUUUCUUCUUAGUGACAUCUUUCAUUGCUGAUGUGCCCUGCCUUUAAGUCCAAGAUGCCCGGGAAUUGAUUGUUCUCCCCUGAUUCAAGCUUUUAUCUUCUGAGGAAGAGGAAUGAGAAAACCAUUGAGCUGCACAUUAUGGAUUUAAAUCAAGAAGUGUCAGAGGGGCCAUGCAAAGAGGGGUGCUGCUAAGACAGGUUAGAAAAAGGUCAGGCUGGAUCACAUCGAUCACUAGUUACAGCUUUAACCAUGCAGAGGAAAAUCACUAAGGCACAACAGCAGCAACGCACAGCUUUCAUCACAGCUUUGUCAGCUCUGUGGGUGAUGGAGUACAGGUUGUAAGUGAGUCCUUGAUGUUAACUAUGGUAAUGCCCCAUGGAGUUAAAGUUAAUAAUAAAGAGGGGAACAAGAGAACAUGAUGUUGUACAAAAGGGGCAGGCUGAAGAGAUUUCUUGGCAGAGCUGAAUUUUUCAUUAUGAUGUAAUGGGGAAACAUUUUUAAAACACCAAUAAUUUUUAGUUUUCUAAGUUUUCUGUGGCUAGAGAUGAGUGUUUUGCAGUAAGAAGAGUAUGCAGAGGAUGUUCUUGCCUUACACUGCAUAAUUAUUCAACAGUGAAAAGUACCUGUUCUAUUCUGUGUGCUCUCAUCAAGCAUUUACUCUCUACUCCUCAUAAAUUAAGCAGACUAUACUCACUUACUGCUCCUCAAAUUUUCCUGCUGCUUGAUGUCGUUGUGCUUAAUUCAUCCUUUACAUUAGGGGUAAUCCUGGCUUGCUUCUCUUAGUGCUGCCCCCAACUUAAUUUUCUGAAUUGUUGUGGUGUACAGGUAUUUAUUUAGAACUCUAAAAUUGAGACAUCACUGAAACAAAAAGAGAACCUCAGCUAAUAGGAAUUGAAGAGUAAUAUCACUCUUUUCUCUCAGUAGAUCACACUCAGAAACUGUAAGGAGGAAAGAGUUCUAUGUUAGGUCAGUUUUAAGGAGAAAACAGAAUCUGGAAACAGAUUUCAGUACAUUACAUCACAAAUAGAAAGCAUACCACUCCAUACAAAGAGAUGACAUGAUGAGAGCCUCUCCAUACAAUUACAUUUCACCCAAAAAAAAUUGAUGAGAAAGAUUAUUUUCAUAAGCCAAAGAUGCCAGUCAUUGUCUACCAAUUUUAACUCUUCUGCCCAUAGCAACAUUAACUGAAUUAAAGAUAUCACUUAAAAACAAAAAAAUUCCUUAUUUUCCCAAUUUGACCAACCCUAAGAUGUGCAGCUGUUUCCCUUUUUUGAGAAGCUACACUGAUUUCUGCUGGUGUGUAGGAACUUCCAGCUUAAUCUUUGGAUUUAAAUGAUCCUCUCUACAGAAGUUGUUGGUUGUACUAAGGGGUGUUUUACUUGUUAUGCUUUUUGUCACUUAAUAAAGGUGAAAUAGACCAGAGGAGCCAUUCUGUCACCUAUGUAGCAUCACUGCAGCUGAGGUUACAGUUGGUCUGGUAGAGAAGCUGUGGGUGUUAUCAUUUGCCACUUCUCAGCUGGGCUUCCUCAUUUGAAUGGCUAAAAGCCUCAGGCUAAACAAGUUGAUUUUAUGGGGUUAUAAAAUUCUAUCCCAGUAAAACAGACUAAUUGUUCCAUCUCUUCUAGGCCAUGACUGCUAAUAAAAUUAUUGCAGCUGUUUGGAUUAAGGAGAUGUUGUUUAUAAUAGCAGCAUGUGAGAGUUUUUUGGCUGGAAGGAUUGUUCACUGUUGUGCCUUCACAUAACAACAAAUGAGAAAGGAUAUGUCAAUUAAACUUAGCAGCAACAUUGCUGGGAGAGAUAAGACCUAAAAUGGUAAAAUAAUAUUCCUCUAUUCAGAAUUCCCAAAGGAAUUCCCACUACUGUUAUAUCCAGAGUAUAUACCUUAGGCCAACAUGGCCACAGCUCAUCUUGCACUAAUUGAAACAUGCCUUUGACAUCGCCUGCUCACUGACUGAUUGCACUGUGUCUACUUGUUCUCUCUCACUAUUUUGUUCAGCCUGUAAGGUAACUCCCCCAGCACUAUUAAACCAAAACGAAACAUGAGUUCAGUUUUCACACUAGCGACUUUCCUGAGCAAGUUAAGUGAGCGAGGUCAAAGUCAGUGCUUUGGUGUUUGGUGGAGCUCCGUGACUUCUGGUGUCACCCAGGGUUUUGGAAUUCAGCUUUGCUGCUGCUUUUCUUUCAACAUAAUUGUUUCCACCAGGACAAUACGUUUUAUUCUCUCACCACGCAAGGUGAAUAUAUGAGUUAUGGAAUAUUAAAAUUAUUUUCUUGGGGUAGUUUAGAGAACGUAACACAUCCAUCACACUGCUAUUUAUAAACACAGAGAGACUAGGUGACAGUCUCAGUUAGGACAGCCAGCUGACUGUGUGGCUUACAAGACUUAAAGCACUUCCCUCGCAAUGUUUGCACUUGUGGGGAUACUUCUUUUUCUUACGCUUUGUCAUGCAUUGAUUUUGAAUAACUGAUCUCUUGCACGACAGCCUGUGUGGCUGUGAUACAGCUGGCAGCCAACCUGAGGCAUUCGUUAAUUCUUAAAUAAUUAAGUUAAAGUAACAGUGAUUGAAACAGCGGCUACAUUAAACAUGAUAUAAAUAACCUGACUUACAUAAAGAUGGUUAUAAUGCAAACUCGAAUUCACCUGCAGAUUCUGUAACACUUCAUCCAUUAUCUUUUCUUGAACUGACAGAAGAGUGGUUUUUUUGUCCUUGAAGUCACUUGUUCAUUUCCUAAAACCAUAAAGAACAGGACAGCAUGUUACUCUAUAUACACGCAGAUUUCCUGGAUAACACAAGAUCAAUUUCAACACCAAGUUUAUUUUUUCCCAUUUCAAGAAGCAGGUGUUAUCUCCACUAAAUGCCUGCAUGAGUUCAUGAAUUCACAGCUGAUGUAAAUCAGCAAACCUCCACUGCCUCCUAUCUCGAUGCUGUAUAACUUCAGGAAACGCCAGGGUCCUCACGUACCCCUUCUAUGCAGAAAUGUCAUGCAAACUUAUCUUAAACAACGUAAAGUGUUUGUGUUUUUUUUCACUACAAUAAUGGUAUGGCCAUGUCAGAUAGAGAAAAUAGAAAAAUAUAUUUUAAAUUCAUGAUUUAAGUAAUAUAUUACUUAAUACAAGUUCUAUUCCAAACACACUUCUCAUCCCGGGACCUGAAGUGAUCCAAGUCCUCCUGGGAGAAACUGAAGCCUGGGCUAACGCUCGUGCACCUCCCACUCCCAUCCUUGGAGCAAGGUGAAAGGAUUUAGGACAGAUUUACUGUGGCAGCAAGCAUAAGUCCAUCUAUUUAAUUCCAGAGCUAGUUUCCCUUGUUGUAAAAGGAAAACACAGAGCUUUUCUCUGUGCAUCAUUUGGUAGAGUAUAACCUCUCUUGAUUAGGCAGUGUAUAAAUGCAAGACAUCUGUACCCGUAUCAUUGACUGGUUAUGCUGUUGGUCCCUCUGCUUCCUCUGCUACUGUUCACACUGUGAUUUUAAGGCUCUCCAUCGUGUGACUUCUUUGGGUGCUUGCUAGAUUUACAUCAGAGAUCAUUUCGAGAUUUUUCAUUGUUGUUUAAGGGAUUACGAUGCCAAAUUCCCACUGCACUGAACUGAAGUAGAUGGGAAAGUAACAUUUCCAAACCAAAAAGGGUAUUUGUGAUUCAUCUGAAGGGUUUCACUCUAACUAAAAAAUUCCAAUAUAGGGACUGCUGAUGUAUUUACAAGUGAUGUUUACUGAUCAGAUUCUGCUCUUGCAUGUCAUCAGGAGGAAAGUAGGUGGUAAAACUUCUUUCACUGAAAUCAAUGCACAGUUAGUACAGCUUCUGGGAAGGAGUGAUAGGUUCCUUUGAGUCCCAUAGUGCCUUUCCCAGCACCCGCUGCUAUUCCACAUAUAAGAAGCUAUGCAGGAAAGGCCCAUGGGCUUUAUCUUGUAAAUCAUGCUCAUUUCCAUCUCCUACAACUAGCCUAAGACUUGAUGGAAAAUCACUUUUGUUAAUAACAUUCUUUGUGGAAAAAAAAAAUAACACACCUGGCUUUAUACAUAUUAUCUUUUGGUUGAAUGAUAAAGAUGAUUUGACUGAUUUUCUUUCUGUGAAGGUUAUUUCCUCUCUCCUCUCCUCCAUGUUUCCAUGCAGGUUCUGGAGUCCUUGAGGACCCUGCAUCUAACUGCAGCAGGCAAAUAAAAUCCCUUCCCUUAAUCUCUGAAGCUCAGCAAUGAAGUUUUGUUUCAAGCACCUGGAAGGCAAGAACAGGUGUUGUCAUUUUUCUUCAGCACAACUUCUUUUUUUUUUUCGGAGUGUUUUUAAUAACUAGAAUGGAAGAUUUUCAUCCUUGGAUUCUGAUUUCUUUCAGAGCUUCUGAAAGGUCCCAAAUUACACGGAGUUUCAGUAGGGACCGUUGUCUCUUCCAUGAAGGCAGCACUGGGGACAAAUAAAAGCAACUGCAGAAAGUGUAAGCUUGGACUUGCAGCCAGAUGGGAUACCAGAUGGCAGUCUUUUUUAAAGUUGUCAUGGGUAAACAGGGAGAAAGGAAAAGAGCUGAAGCUCAGCUAGAUGUGACUUCUACCUGCUGUGUAUGAGACUUAAAAAGUGUGAUUUACUGCUCUCAUUGUAUGAACCUGCGAGUAACUUUUCCUCCUGUAUGACAGAACUCAUAUGUGCACUAAAAAUGCCACUACUUUCAUCAUCUCACAAGAAUAAUUGAUAGAUUAGGGCAUGCAGAUGACUUUAAUAUACAGUCACCAGCUUCACGAAGCAGAACCUGCUUUGAAUAAGCACAGUCAUCCCGUGGAGACAUCUCACAGAACAAUAAUUAAAAUUCCUGGUCAUUUGCCAAUUGCCAUAGAAGUUCUUUGUCAUACAGUAGGACUAUGUGCUGUGUAACUAAGCAGCUGAGAGAUUGUUUUGUAUAUUAUUUAUUUUCCUUGUCUUCUUUCCCUUUGGCCAGCACAAUGCUGUUGAUUGUAUGCCUACAAUAUUUAGUAGAAUUUGAUAUGUUAAAUCUGUUAAUGUUCAUCUAAUCUGUGAUAAUGCCAUGAUUAGUAUUUGCAGGAGCAAUGCAUUCCAGGAGUUAGUUAAUGUUUUCAUAGAAGAUGGUACAAAUUAAUCAGAACAAGGCAUGCUGUUGUUACCAAACCAAUUUGGUGUAUUGACAGACGGUUAAGGUAAAAUGCAGACCACGUUAAUUGUUAAAUAUGCUGAUCAUUCUUUCCAAUUCACUUCAAACUAAAUACGGCUUUAUAGUAGAGGAAUGAAUUCAACUACAUCUUCAACAGCAAUUCUCCUAUUUUAAUUUGUGGGGAUUCCUAAUCUUCCUUUCUCCUUUUUUAAUCAUUUGUAGACACUCUUCCAUUUUUUUCAGACAGUAAAUGCUGUAUGAAGCAACAUAACAGAAUAUAUUGGCUACUGCUCCUGCUUUGCUCCAUAAAAGAUGCAUGAUCGUAGUAUGUUUCCCGACCACUGCACAAAGAUAUUCCUUCUGCGUGAUACCUCUGAGAAGUCACUCUCCAUUGCUGUUGUUAGGGAAUUACUACCUAAGGGAUCACAAAAUUCAUUUCCAGUGAAUGGGACAGUCUAAAUCUUUAUAAAUUCUGUGAACUUCACAAGAGUAACAGACCCAGUUGAAUGUCUGGAUGUCUCACAACUUGCUACAUCCAAGUUUAGGACAUGUUCUUAGGUGAAAAUCCACUGAUAUAAUAGUAGGAAAUUAUUUAGCUAUAGGUACCUAGAGCUGUUUCCUUUUUGGACUACAGACAUUAAGAGUGAUUGCAAAAACCUGUCAUGCCUUUAAUUUGUUUUAAAAAUAAAACACUCCUCCCUACAUUUUAAUAACACUAUACCCUGCACUCUUUCCAAAGUUCUAUAAAUGGUUUUAAAAAGAGAACUCUGAAUCUGUGAAAUGUGGCGAGUUGACUUAACAUCUGGAAGUACUCUCAGGGCUGUCUUAGCUUGCUUUCAAGACAGUGAAAAACUAGGCUGUAUGAUUUCUUGAUAUUCUUACAAGGAAUACCUAGUAGCAUCGCUGAUAGUAAAUAAAAUAUUACAUUUUCUACACUGGAGAUUGGUGUUUUAACGACUGAGUUUGAGCAUUUGCUGACACGCUGUUACUAAUGCAUAAUGUUAGGAGCUAUUUGUUUUUACUUUGUAACUAAAGGAGGUAAUCUAAUACUCAUUAGGUAAUCUUUAUUGGACCAUCUCUGCUGCAUUUAUACUGAAUAGUACCCUUAUUACAUGCUUAGUUCCAUUUAUUUCAUCUGUUAAAAUUAGAUAUUUUCCACUGUAUUCAAAAAGCAUCCAUGCUCUUGGCUAGCAAGCCCAGAAUUUGAAGCUAACUAUUAGAAACUGUUUCUAAAGCUAUUUUUUUAAAUAGAGUUUAUGAUUCCCAUCUCUUCUGUUUAGGAAGAAAUGUUCACAGUGUGCAUGGUAGAGAAAAUGAAAGGAAAGGACACUCCAUCAUCUGCAAUUUUAAAUAAAGCGAAAACCACAGAGGUACGAAAACGAAUGUUCAAACAUUUCAUUUCAUAUAACAAAAUAUGAAGAUUUAAAAGUGCCAUGUUUAAAGAGCUCUUCAUAUCUUACUUUUAAUUGUUUUGGUUUCGGCUCUCCCUUGAUCUAUUUAAAAAUAAA